rnacentral:piRNA from 1 species
UNCCCCAUGUCUUUCAUGGUUGGGCUAUGC